UAUGUGUGGAAAUAGGACUAUUUCCACAUGUAAUAGGAAGCACUAAGAAGGCUAAUGAUGGCUAUAUAACCACCAAAGCAGGUGUGUGAAGCCUGCUGUGCAAAAAUAAAAAUAAUUCAUUUUGUUGCCCAAGAUGAUAUCCAAGUGUCAGUCUCCAGAAUGCUUCAAGAAUGUGGAUUACAGCAGUAUACCUGUUAUCUUCCCAGUGAUUGAAACAGGACUUAGCCAGGAUGUCUGGUUUGCUUACUCAAGUAUCCAAGACAUGAUCCACAGUGUUAAAACUGCUACAUGUGAAGCGAUCUAAGAAGAUCUUUUUCAAAAAUUGAGUGGAAAUACUUGGAAAAAAGAUUCCUAUGACUCUUCCUGGUUGUUUCCAUUGUGUGCAAGAACAUACACUGACCAACAUUGCUGAUGCAUUUAGUUCUCCUAAGUGGUCACUGAAGUAAGUUGGGAUAAGACAGAAAAUAAAAAUUUUACUGGUGAUUAAUUUUGGGGUCA
rnacentral:lncRNA from 1 species